rnacentral:tRNA from 1 species
GCCCGGGUGGCGGAACUGGUAGACGCGGCCGGCUUAAACCCGGCUGUCCGCAAGGACGUGGGGGUUCAAGACCCUCCCCGGGCAC